AGAGUUUGAUCCUGGCUCAGAAUCAACGCUGGCGGCGUGCCUAACACAUGCAAGUCGAACGCGGUUACUAGUGCUUCGCAAGAAGCAUUAGUGACUGAGUGGCGAACGGGUGAGUAACACGUGGGUGACCUGCCUUCGAGUGGGGGAUAACGUUCCGAAAGGGACGCUAAUACCGCAUGACAUCCUGCCUUUGAAGAGGUGGCGAUUAAAGCUGGGGAUCGUAAGACCUGGCGCUUGAAGAGGGGCCCGCGUCCGAUUAGCUAGUUGGUGGGGUAAUGGCCUACCAAGGCGACGAUCGGUAGCCGGCCUGAGAGGGCGGACGGCCACACUGGGACUGAGACACGGCCCAGACUCCUACGGGAGGCAGCAGUGGGGAAUUGUUCGCAAUGGGCGCAAGCCUGACGACGCAACGCCGCGUGGAGGAUGAAGAUUUUCGGAUCGUAAACUCCUUUCGAUCGGGACGAAUGGUCAGUGGUCUAAUACGCCAUUGGAUUGACGGUACCGAGAGAAGAAGCCCCGGCUAACUCCGUGCCAGCAGCCGCGGUAAUACGGGGGGGGCAAGCGUUGUUCGGAAUUACUGGGCGUAAAGGGCGCGUAGGCGGCCUGCUAAGUCACACGUGAAAUCCCUCGGCUCAACCGGGGAACUGCGUGUGAUACUGGCGGGCUUGAAUUCGGGAGAGGGAUGUGGAAUUCCAGGUGUAGCGGUGAAAUGCGUAGAUAUCUGGAGGAACACCGGUGGCGAAGGCGGCAUCCUGGACCGAGAU
rnacentral:rRNA from 1 species